AAUUUUUCGCAAUGGGGGAAACCCUGACGAAGCAACGCCGCGUGGAGGAUGAAGGCCUUCGGGUCGUAAACUCCUGUCGACCGGGACGAACGUAGAGGGGAUGAAUACCCUCUUCUAUCGACUGUACCGGUGGAGGAAGCCACGGCUAACUCGGUGCCAGCAGCCGCGGUAAUACAGAGGUGGCAAGCGUUGUUCGGAAUUACUGGGCGUAAAGGGCGCGUAGGCGGCCUUGUAAGUCCUGUGUGAAAUCCCCCGGCUCAACUGGGGAACUGCACAGGAGACUGCUUGGCUUGAGUUCGGGAGAGGGAAGCGGAAUUCCGGGUGUAGCGGUGAAAUGCGUAGAUAUCCGGAGGAACACCGGUGGCGAAGGCGGCUUCCUGGACCGACACUGACGCUGAGGCGCGAAAGCCAGGGGAGCAAAC
rnacentral:rRNA from 1 species